rnacentral:lncRNA from 1 species
AUAAAAAAUUGGCAUCAUAUAAAAACCAGCCCUCUAUUUCUGCCCACUUAUAAUAAUCCAUGAUAUGUUCUUCAAAUUAAAUUUCUAUAGAUAUCUUCUACAGAUGUAACAAGAAGUUGUCUUGGG